UACGUAGGGGGCAAGCGUUGUCCGGAUUUAUUGGGCGUAAAGAGCGUGUAGGCGGCCACACAGGUCAGCUGUGAAAACUCGAGGCUCAACCUCGAGACGUCGGUUGAAACCGUAUGGCUAGAGUCCGGAAGAGGAGAGUGGAAUUCCCGGUGUAGCGGUGAAAUGCGCAGAUAUCGGGAAGAACACCCGUGGCGAAGGCGGCUCUCUGGGACGGUACUGACGCUGAGACACGAAAGCGUGGGGAGCGAACAGG
rnacentral:rRNA from 1 species